CGAAGAUAUUAAAACCAAGCUGUGAUUCUAAUGUCGAAUGGUUUCCUCUGGGGUCAAAUGCUGGAUAUUAUGCUAUCAAACCAAUCAAGAAAGGACAACCGAUUCUCGAGAAUAUUCUUGGUUCCUAUCAUACAAAACCUAAAAGUGAACGAUAUAUUGGAUUCGGGAGCCUCAGUAAUGAUCCUCUAUCAUGUGAUUGUACAGCAUGUGUUGAAAAUUGGUCAACUAUUCAUUCUCUUCCAUCUUAUGAGAGUCUUGCAAUUGUAUUGCCGACAGAAAUCCAGAAAGAAUUACAUUGUAGGACAUUAAAAUUCGAUAAGUGGCAUGAUCUCAUCAACCAAGGAAAUCCUAAAAACUUUUCGACAAUUAAGGAUG